UGAUUGGGAGCUUUUUGGGUUGAUAGGUGACUUAUUUGUUGAGUGUUCUUGGGUUUGGAACAUUCUGCUUUCUGUUGGGUGCCAGGCCUCAAGAUGUCCCUUAUGCACAUUGUUUGCUCUCUGUCAUAUUUGUUCCUCUACGGUGGAUUUAUUAUCGAUACAAGAAAUGGCAUUAUUAUCUCUUGGACUUCUGCUACUACGCCAACACACUAUUCUUGGUCAUGCUUCUUUGUUUUCCUAGAAAUGAGAAGUUUUUCAUGAUUUGCUUCUCUUUUGCAGAGGGUCCACUGGCUUGGGCACUGAUUGUGUGGAGAUGCAGCUUAGCCUUUAAUUCUUUCGACAAAAUUGUAAGCGUCUUCAUACAUCUUUUGUCUGAUUGCCCUAUGCAAGGAAAUUGUGCAAUAGACGCGUGAUGAGAAGUGAACUUUCCUUCGUUAGCGCAUUGAGGCAAAGCUUGCAGCUCUAUUGAUGAAGACCAAGGAAGAUUCCGAAACUUCAGCUCUCCUUUCUGGACCAAUCAAGGAGUGAGAGUGUAUAUGAAGAUGAGGAAUUUGAUGAGACCCAGAGGCAACUAGCUGCAUUAUUGGCCUCAAAGAUUCAAACAUGCUUUUCCUGUAUCUUUAAUUCUCUUCUUGUCUGUUUUAUAUAAUAAAUUGGAUGAUAGAAAUAAUGAUCUACCUUACUUUGAAGUUUAUGAUUAAAGAAACUCGAAAUCCUUCUAAACAAUAGUUUUGUUGGAAGUUUUUGUUUUAAAGCCUACUUCUACAGAGUGCUCAUCUUCUUGAUUAAUAUUUUAGCAUUCAUUUUACCACGUUAUGUAAAAUGCAUUUCAAGAAGAGGAAGCAUAAGUUAUUUUUGCUUUUGUAUGCGUUCAUUAUUUAUAACAAAUCUGUCUCCCCUCUCAGGUAAUUUGUUAUUGGAAUGAACUAAAUCACUCAUUGUUGUAUGCCCUUGGAGCUGACCUUCUAUUCGAUGUAUCAGAAGAUUCAUAUUAUGUCCGAAGUAUUCUAGCUAAAGCUAUAGACGAAUGUCCUGACCUCAAGACCAAGGCUGCUGAGUCAAAUAAAGUAGCAAAGAUAGAUUCAAGAUCAAAAUUCAUUGUUAAAAGGAUGCUUGAUAAAACUGGCUCACCAGGGCUACAAAUUAGGUUAAGUUUAGUGCAACAGCACUACGAGAAACACAAGCAUUGUCUACUAUAGGGAAGGCAUAAAUCAGUUCCUGUGUGAUAGUCUAACAAGCGCUAAUGCUGAGCUCUUGACAGUUUAUGGAACAGAAGAAACAACUGAUACACUGAUUGAGCAGAUAACUUGGGAUCAAGACCCCAUACUACGUUAUGGAUAAAUGUAUGCAUUUGCAUUGGCUUACAGUAGAACUGCAAACAACAAGGCCAUUCGACAGCUGCUGCAUUUUGCUGCAUCAGAAUUGAGUGACAAUGUUAGGCACACUGCAGUUUUAGCACUGGGUUAGUUUCUCUUACGUUCAGACUCCUCAAAUCGUCUCCCUGCUCUCGGAAUCAUAUAAUCCACAUGUUCAUCAAAGUCCAGUUCUUAUGUUUGGCAUAUCAUGUGCUGGUACUGGUCUGAGCGAGGCCAUAUCAUUGCUGGAGCCUUUGACAUCAGAUGUGCCAGUGAUUCCCCUGUUGAUGCAUUCAGAUUCAUGGUGCUGCAGAAAGGAAAUCAGAACUGGAGCUCUUUGAAUGGACUAAGCAUUUUGAGCUCAUGUGUAACACAUAGUUCACGACACAAGCUUGAACUAGCGUGUCAGUUAUUGCUUUUUUUUUUUUUUUUUUUUUUUUUUUUAUAG